rnacentral:lncRNA from 1 species
AGACACACUUAAUUUAGCCGGCAGGCACACGGAUGCUUAUUUUUAAAAAAAGAACUUGUUUUAUUGCGCUCGAGGUGACCGGGAAGGUGUCCCCGCGGGUCACUCGCUCCAUCUGGUCCUGGAGACGAGAUGCCAGGGCGAGGCCUAACCUGCCUGCUGGCGCCCAACGAAGAUUUUAACGUUUUCUGUUCCCUUCGGGGUGGUUUUACCA